rnacentral:rRNA from 1 species
AUUGAACGCUGGCGGCAGGCUUAACACCUGCAAGUCGAGCGAGCGGCGGACGGGUGAGUAAUGUCUGGGAAACUGCCUGAUGGAGGGGGAUAACUACUGGAAACGGUAGCUAAUACCGCAUACCAUCAGAUGUGGCCAGAUGGGAUUAGCUAGUAGGUGGGGUAAUGGCUCACCUAGGCGACGAUCCCCAGCGGGGCUGAGAGGAUGACCAGCCAAACGGGAACUGAAACACGGUCCAGAUUCGUACGGGAGGCAGCGGUGGGGAAUAUUGCACAAUGGGCGCAAGCCUGAUGCAGACAUGCCGCGUGUGUGAAGAAGGCCUUCGGGUUGUAAAGCACUUUCAGCGAGGAGGCGUUACUCGCAGAAGAAGCACCGGCUAACUCCGUGCCAGCAGCCGCGGUAAUAC